CUGUAUUGCGUAGACAUAUACGCAAACGCAUACAUAAAACGCCAGAUGAAGACAAAACCCCUGGCAAAGGUAAUUAUCACCAUUUCUCAGUUUAUUGGUGAAAUAUAUACCUGCGCAAGAAUCCUGCGGUUGAAAACCAAAUCUCAGGCAGCAAAUGAUAUUUCAUAUUUGACUUACAUGCGCAAAAUUUUAAGUGGCAUCCUUUUGUUUGGUUUUAUCAUGGAUGCAUAGCAAAAUUAAGUUAAUUUUUCAAUUUGAUACUUAAAUUAAACAUCAAGUCAAGUUAAUCAACGAAGAAUGUAGGCCUACUAGAAUUUCUCGUUCUGUCAACCUAGGAAAUAAUCGAAUUACUUGAAUCCAAUAAUCCAAUUCAAGUAUAAUCAUGGAAUGGACCCCCAUUAUUGUUGUCUAUCAUCAUGUUUCAGUUUGGUAAACCAGUAAGUAUUGUCGUGCCAGCAUGUCUAAGAAGCCACUGCAGAUUGAAUCUCUUUUGCGUCAAUUGUCUCAGCUGGAGAACUACAGGUUACAGGUUAGGAAUGCAACUCUGACCAUAACCUGGAAUCCUUAUUCAACUAACGCACCAAAACUUGACCACCAGCCUGAAAUUUAAAUUUAAAAUCUGCAAUUUAGACUCCGAUUAGCAAAGACACUUGGCGAAGAUGGGGAUCUGAAGUACUAUGUACCAGUACCGAC